CAGCAGUCGCCGCGGGAAUACGAAGGGGGCUAGCGUUGUUCGGAAUUACUGGGCGUAAAGCGCACGUAGGCGGAUAUUUAAGUCAGGGGUGAAAUCCCAGAGCUCAACUCUGGAACUGCCUUUGAUACUGGGUAUCUUGAGUAUGGAAGAGGUGAGUGGAAUUCCGAGUGUAGAGGUGAAAUUCGUAGAUAUUCGGAGGAACACCAGUGGCGAAGGCGGCUCACUGGUCCAUUACUGACGCUGAGGUGCGAAAGCGUGGGGAGCAAACAGGAUUAGAUACCCGGGUAGUCCCUGUCUCUUAUAC
rnacentral:rRNA from 1 species